UACGUAGGGUGCGAGCGUUAAUCGGAAUUACUGGGCGUAAAGCGUGCGCAGGCGGUUUUGUAAGCCAGAUGUGAAAUCCCCGGGCUUAACCUGGGAAUGGCAUUUGGGACUGCAAGGCUGGAGUGCGGCAGAGGAGACUGGAAUUCCUGGUGUAGCAGUGAAAUGCGUAGAUAUCAGGAGGAAUACCGAUGGCGAAGGCAGGUCUCUGGGCUGACACUGACGCUGCAUGCACGAAAGACGUGGGGA
rnacentral:rRNA from 1 species